CACAUUAACGUCUAGACUGGAUUUCUGUUUCAUUUAAUGUUAUCUUCAUUGGAAAAACUGCUUUUCUUUCAAAAAUAAGGACAUUUCUAAGUGACCCCAAACUUUUGAAUGGGAGUGUAUAUGGAAUAAAGUUGUUCUAAAAUAUUUAAAGUUGCUCAAAAAUGAGUUAAAGUUGCCCUACUUUAGCUAAAGUUGACAUUUUUAGUUAAAGUUGUUAUAUAUUAAAGUCGCUCUAAAUUAGCUGAAGUUGCUCUCAAUGAGUUCAAAUUGCUCUAUACCAGGGACACAUAUAAAGAGAUUUCUAAGUGGCCCCAAACUUAGAAAACGGUAGUGUCCGUUUGAGUAUCAAAGCCUCAGAACUGUCCUCUUUUGUUGUGAAAAGCCUCCUUCCAUGUUCGCUUGUGCGCGCUGGUUCACUGACGCUACCUUGACUGUGUUGAAGCGCUGAAAACGGAUAUGGUUUGCAUUAGGACGUCAGAGGGGCGGGGUCACAUGACCCGUCUUUAAGGACACCGGGAAGACUGAGGCUGCGAACCCGCUGACCUCUGCGCGUCCCCGGGCAGCUUCAGAGCCGAGCCCCGCUGGAAUCGCUUCAUCCCCCAGACCAACAUGUUAAAAGAGAGGCGGAACCACAGCCGACUGCAGCCACGCUGCCGUUACGCAACUACCCUUAACCUCUGUACACGCACUGUGCAUGCGGGUGCUCGUGGUUUCCUUUGUGAUAGUAAUAGCUGAUAAAAUGGGGAUAACCAAAUAUUAGUAAAAUCCACUUGACCCUUAGAUACUCCAGUGUUUGGAACCCUACACUCUUCUAUAAGUGGGUCAAAAAGGAUAAGUAUAAGUAUAAGAAUCAGUAUGUUUUUGUACCAUUUUUGUCAUUUUGGUUGAGAAUAAUAAUUUGUAUUAUUGCUUGUAUCAUAUUUCUGUCCACACAAGAAUGAUUCCAUGUUUGAAAUAUGUUUAAUUUUCACUUUAUAACAAAUUUUGAAUAUUUUGAUAAUUGAAAAAGAAGAAUAUUACACAGAACAGCAGUAGAAGAAUGUCAACAUCCAUUUUUUUGUUGACAUUUUUUCACUCUUUUCCUCCAGCUGUUGCUGCACUCCCUCCCUCUUGUAUGAUAUUAUCAGUGAUAAAGAGCUUGCGGUAGUAAUACAAAUAUUACAAUUUCUUUAAAAGUAUAAAAGGUAACUUAAAAAUGUAAAUGUUAUGAUAUAAAAAACAUAUUUUUUGAGGAAUAGCUGGAAAAUGAAGUGAUAAAAACUUGUCAUUACAAAGAUAUUGCAAGAAAAUGACCUCACCGGGUCAUUUUUGACCAACUGAUGCACAACAUGGGUCCAAUGUCGCCUGGAUGAGAUUUUCUUUCCUUUUAAAAGAAAAAUUUAGUUUGGACUUUUAAAGAAAAAUAUUUUUUCUAUCACUACUGCUCUAAUGCACAACAUGGAUCAAAACAAACAUAUACACACCAUUCAAAAAUUUGGGGUCACUUAGAAAUGUCCUUAUUUAAGAUAACAUUCAAUGAAUCAGAAAUACAGCCUAGACAUUGUUAAUGUGCUAAAUAACUAUUCUAGCUGGAUAUGGCUGAUUUUUAAUGGAAUAUCUCCAUAGGGCAGGGGUAGCCAACACGGCGCCCGCGCCUGGUUGCCCGCAGAGACCAUGUGAGUUGCCCACCACACGUUCUAAAAGUAACACUAGUCACCAUGAAAUUCCUUAUAAAAAAUUAUAGUUGCUGUUCUUUUUAAAUCAAAAAUACUUACAUUAAUGCAGAUUUUAAAUUACAAUAUUUAUUAUCAUUUAUUUAAAAAACAAAAAUGUCUUCUGUGUAAAUGAACUUUGACCUUGUCCGAGUCAAAGUUCACUGCGCAUGCCAAACCACACGUCACUCUGCUGACGCGUCCGGGUGCAGACUCUUUGGGAAGUUAGAUGUGGUUUUUACCCCCCAAAACAUGACAGAGAAGUGAAAGAGAAAACACUAUUUUCACGGCGAUUGGGAGGAAGAGUUAUUUUUCACGACAGUGAAAGAUAAAUGUAUGUGUCGUAUUGCGGGGCGACUAUUGCGUCGGCAAAUACGCACUACGGACAGGAAAAACCCGGGACUUAAGCCGCGAUUCCACAAGCACCUACUCGGCGCGGUGCGGCUGGGCUCGUCUUUGUUUGCGAGCGUUUCCAUAUGGAUUAGUGCAUGGUAUCAGGCACGAUUUUCCGUACCUUCUCGGCUGAGGUUCCAAGCGAGAUGAAGUGAGCCGAGAUGUGACGUCUACAUAGUGCAGGCCACUGAUUGGACAGAAGUGCAGGCCACUGAUUGGACCAGGGAGUGACGACACACGAGAGCGACUCCAGCACGAAAACAAAACCGACAUUUAAAAAAAAUUAAACAGCGACGGUGUGCAUUGCUCUUCACGGAACUCUCUGUUCUUCAUAAUUUUAAUAUGACAGCCAGACCUGUACCGUGGGUGAAUGAAGAGGUCGAGACUUUUCUGUCUUUGGUGGCGGACCAAAGAAUACAGAGGGAGCUGGACAUAGAAAGUUUAUCAGGAGGUCUCAGAGCGGAUGGCCACCCACGUAUACAGUAGACUGUAUAUAAAGAGGACAGAAGCAGUGUAGGGAGAAGCUGAAAAAGCUCAAAAGUAACUAUCGGUCCACCAAGGACCACAGCGGCCGGUGUGGGUCAACCAGGAGGUGUUGGAAGAGGUUUAAUAGAAGCUAUUUACUGGCACUGCACCGGCGAGCAACAAGAGGGAGACUCAGCUGCUGCAUUAUUGGAGACGUUCGAGGACGGUGAGUGUUUUGUGACUUCAGGAAACUUUUACAUCAUAUAUCCAAUUGGUGGCGAGGUUCUUUUAAGCAAACAAGUAUAUUUAGAAAGUAACGUUGUUGUCUCCUGUAGCAGACAAUAAGCUAGUUAGUUAGCCAUCAGCGUAUCUAGUUAGCCAUCGGCGCUAGCUAGUUAGCCAUCAGCGCUAACUCCGUGCUCCGCUUGUAUUUCGUGCUGCUGUUUCUGACGUUUAGCUCUCAGAAUCUAAUACAUCAGUCAGCAUGACGAACUAAGGUAGUGGUCGUACAGGUUUAUUUUUUUCACAAGUUACAAUGUCGUGUUUUUCAUGUACUUAGGGUGAGUGUUUAUUUCUGUUCAAGAAUCCUUUCCACGUACAAAGCCUACUCCACCUCCGUCGCGGAGCCCCCAGCUCCCCUGCCUCCUCUCCACCACCAGCAGCGGUUCCUCUCCAGCACCAGCUUCGACACCAGUACCAACUCGGACACCGACCCUGUCAACAGCAACCUCCAGCACGUAACAGCAACGUCUUAUCACUGGCAAGAGGAAAAGGGGCAACAGAAAAUUGGAUCUUCCUAGCAUACUUGUGGAGAUGCAGGCUGAGGAGGAGUGGAACCGUGCCCAGCAUGAUGAGAACAUUUGGUUGCUCCUCAGCGAGGCAAGAGAGAAUGAAGCGGCCUUGCAGUGGGAGGAGAUGGCCCAGAAUGCUGCCUUCAACCAGUCGUUCCUGGGUGUACUGGGGCAGCUGGUGCAGGUAGUGGGCAGCCAGCGAGUCCACCUCCCAGAGACUUGAGAUUUAGUUGUAUAUAGUUUUACUUUUAGCCCUCCACUGUAGGACAGGCCCACCACAGUUUGUACUUUGCACAUUGUAAAUAGUUUUGAUUUUGCUGCUGACUAAUAAACUAUUUUGUGACUUA